GUCAAUGGACAGCUUUGCUGUCCAUAUUUGUUUCCAUAUUUGUUUCCUUGAUUUACUCUUCAGAAUAAUUAGCUUAAUAUUUGACAGAUUGUAUAGGAAUAGAAUUAGCAUAUACAUAGUUCUUUCCAUGUAUAGAAUCCUUUCCAUGAAUAGAAUUC